rnacentral:lncRNA from 1 species
GCUUUCCGCUCCGAGGUAAUUUUCAAGAACAACGCGGUCCCAACGGUCAUAAUGGACACGUGUCUCCUUCUGACGUUAGUAUAAAUACGAACGUUAGUUGAUCUUUAAGCAAUUCACACUUGCAUAAAAUCCGCACCUUACCCUCUCCUCUCUCUGAGGAGAGAGAAACCAAGUAACUUUCUCCGUUCGCUAUUUCUCUUCAAUCGAUAUACGCCGGCUCGGCAGAGGUACAUGAAUUGAUUCUUUUUCCGUUUCGUUUUUGGGAAUUUUUUCACCUUCUGAUUUAUAAUUGUUUAGGUUAAUUAAUUUUGUAUCUGAUCAUAUUCGAAUGAAGAUGAAGUGGUGGGGCAAAAUGCAGAGAGUUUGGAUCAAAGUCUCUUACCGUUUCGGUUAUCGCAAAAAUGGUUAGCUUUUUCAAUUUUUUUAAAGUAUACUUUUCAUUUCAUCGCAUCGGAAUUAGUUUGUUGGCUGCUUUCCCCUUUUUUUUCUUCCUUAUAAUUUGAUUCAUAGAAGAUAUGCUUAGUUUAUGAUUUAUUUUGAUUAAACUGUACGAAUGUUAGUUUAUUCCAAAUAUUGUAAUUAAUCAUGUGCGUCUCAUUCUAGAACAAUUAGCGAAUCCAAAUGGAUUAAGUCCAUGUAAUUGUCAAGGAAGGCUGAAUUGAUGGAACCAUGAUAUAUAUUUUAAUCUCAUUGUGUUACACGUACAUCACUACUUACACAUUUACAUAUUUGUUUACGGAUAAUUUGACGAGAUAUAAUUGAAUCAAAAUUUCACCAACCAACUAAAAAAAUAAAAUCCGCCACUCUUUUUUUGACAUCUCACCAAUCUGUGAAGGAAUAUGUAAAUGGUGAUGCGCAACAAGCAUUUUCCAUUUUGAUCACUCAUUCAAAAUUUCUAUUAAGUAAUUGACAGUUAAAUAUUAAUAUAGAGAAACGAUUUUCAUCACAAUUUUUUCAUAUAUUUUGGUAGAUAUAUUCACUUUCUGAGAAAUUUUGACAUUAGACCAACGUAGUAUACCAAACAGAUGAUCUAUGUUGAUUUCAAUGAAUAACCACGUGAAAUUGCUUCAGGGCUAGCAAAGCUCCACCAAGAUGUUAGGACGUGUGAGUAUGAGGAUGUCCACAUCUUGUGGAAUAUGCUGAAUAGAAAUGAGACAGGUCUCAGUAGAAGGAAAAAGAGGUACUUUUGGGACAUCAUUCAAUGGGCUCCAUUCGCUUGCCGUGGUGCUUCUUCUCUUUGAUACUCACAACGUAUUUUUAAAUUCUCGAAAUCAGUCUAUUCAUUAUUUUGUGUUAAGAUGAAGCCCUGAAUUUCAUAUGCUGCUGUUUAUUAUGUAAACCAGUAUAGAUUAUUUUGUUUUUGUUUAUUUAAUGUCAAAUGUAUGGUGGUGGAGUAUUUGCUUCUCUUACUGAAUGCUUCUUGACAUGUAUGGUGAAUACAAACUCUUAUCAGAAGUUGACAUACCUUUAUCAAUAUAAAAUGGUGUGAAAAAUUUUGAUACUUGUAAAUAGAUCGUAUGUAUGUUUUUAAUAACAGGCUG